AGGAGCGUCAGCGACGGCCACUUCGGGAAGAGUGUGGCCUAGGCGGAACACAGAGGCUUGACGUGAAAAUGUGGGACUCAGUCGGUGCGUAGCCGCUCGUAAAGGCAAGACAGGCUUGGUCGAGACUGCGGGAGAGGUGGACAGAAACGAGCGUGGCCCAGAGGAUAAAAGGAAUGUGAAAGGACUCGGAUCAGAGGCGUGGACGCCGAUGAAGAAGCGGGGCCACGGAGUAGCGUAUGGGACGCAAGUGACGUUCCUGCAAGUUACUUGGGAGCUGAUCAAGACUUCAAGCUAAAGAUGGUGAUGAUGAGUCGCCUGAGGGUCAUUCUUCAAGCCUCUCCAUGCAAGGCACAGUGGAGAAGUUUCCAGAUUCCGAGGUCCAUGCUAGCAAGGCCCUUCAGCCUCUACACCUGCACUUACAGAACCUGGAACCGAGCCUCAACUGUCUUUUUACUAAAAUUGAUCCACGGACUGCGAAUUAUUUCUGUGAGUCUGAACAUUCUGGAAUUUUCAUAUUCAUGUCUGCAAGCAGUUCAGUAGCUUCAUACUCUGGAAUAUUCCAUCCCUCGUUACAAAUUGCAGAAGAGGUGCUUCUAGCUGACCAGCUUGCCAGUGUGUGCUCCGCUGUGAACCCAGCAGAUCAAGUGAGGCAGCAGAUGGUCCUCCCUGACACCAUGGUGCUACUGCCAUGGGCGUGGGUCGUCCUGUGCUGUUGGGGUGGACUGUGCACUGCAGAUGCUGCAUGGCAUCCCUAAGUGUCCCCUGUGGGGCCAAGUAACCUUGGUACAGAACUCCUGAGAUGAUCGGAGAGGAUAAUGUGUGUGUUGGUGGAGACAUGAGUUUAAUGAAAUGGUUAAGCGUAUCUUUUAAGUAGUUAUGUAUUUUCCACCAUUCACAGUGAAUUCACACAGAGUUUUCCAGUGUUGGUUUGCUUACCGAUUCUAGCUUUCUCAACUUUUCCUCCUUGGGUUUACUCUCUUUGACCCUAUUUUGCACAUUAAACAAGGAAUUUAUUAGUAAUGCUAAUCUAGCUAAAUCUGUUGCCUUGAAACUGCUUCAUAAAUAUAUUUUUACUGUAAGUUUAAUUUGUUUCCUCCGAUAUUGACUGUAUUCUCCUUAAACUGAACUGGUCUGAGUCAUAAUAAAUUUCUGGUUUCUGGGUGCACUUGAGAAGAUAAUGUAUUCUGCUGUUUUUGGAUGGAAUGUCCUAUAAUUAUCAAUUAAAUGUAUCUUGCCUAAAAAAAAAAAAAAAAAAAAAGAA